AAAUAUUUCAUGCCAACGUAACGCUCUUGGUUUUGAAAUUCCAAUUUCACUCCUGUAUAGAGAAGAAAGACGUACUUCUACGUCAAAAGUGAAACGAAAUCAGAUUGAAAUUAAGUGCAAAGCCUUUAACUGUAUACGGAGCAGGAAAUCUCAUCCGGAUCACCAUUUUUAUCGGUUUCCGAAGGACCCGAAAGUGCGUAACGAGUGGAUUAAGAUUUGCGUGAGAAAUGAGAAGGACAUACCGUUUUUUAAGCUGACAGCCGGAUGCAGAUUGUGCAUUGUUAGAUUGGUCGUAUUGGACUUCAAUUAGUUUGUUUUGUACUUGCCUUGAGUGAUUUUUAAAGGACUUAAAGGGAAUCUUAAUCCAAAUCCGAAAAAGGCCACUUUGGCAAUAAAAGCUCUCAUCAGUUAAUAACUGUGGAAGUGCUCAUUGACCACUAAGCUGCGAAGCAGGCUCUGUCCCAGUGAGGACGUAAUACCAAGAAGAAGAGAUACACUAUACUUCACAUAAUCACCACAAUUAAAAAAUAAAUAAUAAUAUUUUUUUGUGAAAUAGUGUACCGUCUUCCAUACAAAUGGCAACACUGUUUAACGUAACACGCAAGGGUGGAAAAUUCACAACUGGGCUCAUGGAUGAAAAGAAGAACAACUUAAAGAAGCCAGGUGUCCGAUCUUAUCUUACACUCAAAAAAAUCCACACGUCAAGGCUACGUGAAAAAUCACGUAGAUCGUUUGAAAAUGAACUUUUCUCUAAUUUACCGGACAACGGUAACAAUCACCCAGACGUAGAUAUACAUUGAAUGUUCUUUCAAUAAUAUUUACUGUUGGUGUCCAUCACUCUUACGUGAAAAAAACACGUAGGCGUAAAUGAACUCAAAUGUUGAUAGUUCAGUUUCUGUUUUGAACUGUCACCAGUGCAAAACGAGUAACAUCGUUGGAAGCAAACGCCAAGUCUCGACAUUACAAAAAAUGUUCACAAGAUGUUGGGCUGAGCAACGUACUUUCACCGCCAAUCGCAGCUGGCUUAUCUCCAUUUAUCAGCGAUGUAAGAUUCCUCGAACUAACUCCGGUAAUAAGCAUCUGAUUGCAGAAAUAAUUCCGGUGUCCGGUGACCAAUACGCAUGACUAAGCAAGUUCUUGAAACUAGACCAAAUUUGCCGUCGAUUACUUCCGGUCGCAUCCAAUUUCAUCUAUUUUUCAUUAAGUUAUAAGCAUUUGAAUUUCGGCAAAAUUUUGCCUACGUUAAUCAUUUCUCCUGUAUUCAGUGUAAUCUUCCAUUCAGAUAUAUUUCCAAAUAAUAAUAAUAAAACAUUUUGGUACAAUGAAAGGAAUCUAAUUAGAACAUUUCUUUUAUUCAUAGUUUCCGUAAAAUUGAUAGUAUAAUUGCUUAGAAUCCAAUAAAACGCUCCGUAAAAGGUACUCACAAAACACUUAGCGGCUACGUGGAAUUCCCGUGAAUUGAGAAAAGUUCAUCAGCUCGAGUGUUCAUUCUGUGCUACCAAUGAUUCACGUAAGUGCUACAUGGAAAGUGCGAUGGAAAAAAAACUACGUAUGUUUUCACGUAGCCUUGACGUUUGGAUUAUUUUGAGUGUAGCUCGGAACCUGCGGAUCGGAACGUAUCGCGAUAGUUUUUCUUCUACCGUCAAUCGAAACGAUGUUUUUCAUCAAGAUUACUAGUAAGCAGGGCUGCCAGAUGGUUUGAUAGAAAACCUGUAUCUACCAGGUUAGAAAAUCUGUGUCCCAUACAAAAAAAUCUGUGUCCAUACAAAAAUUGUUGAAAGAAAAUCUGUGUUCCAUACAAAUUGCAGCUGUGUCAGAAUAAAAAAAUCUGUGUAAUACAGAUAAAUCUGUAUAUGUGGCAGCUCUGCUAGUUUGAACCAGGCAUGAAAGCACCAACAAAAACCAAUGUUUGGUACAGUUGGAGCAACAAAUCGACAUCGCUAAGGGCUUUGCGAAGUUCCAUACGGGCCCAUCCCGGGCAUUUCCUGAAGAAGUACUGAAGUACCAAGCAUUGAACGAAGUUCCUGAACAAUCUGGAAAAAUAAAAAUGCUCAGAACAAAUCUUUAAAAAAAA